UACGAAGGGUGCAAGCGUUACUCGGAAUUACUGGGCGUAAAGCGUGCGUAGGUGGUUUUUUAAGUCCGUUGUGAAAGCCCUGGGCUCAACCUGGGAAUGGCAGUGGAUACUGGAAAGCUAGAGUGCGGUAGAGGGUAGUGGAAUUCCCGGUGUAGCAGUGAAAUGCGUAGAGAUCGGGAGGAACACCAGUGGCGAAGGCGGCUACCGGGACCAGCACUGACACUGAGGCACGAAAGCGUGGGGAGCAAACAGG
rnacentral:rRNA from 1 species